GCGAAUGCUCUAGAUUGAGACGGGUGAGUAUGUCUGGCGAAACUGCCUUGAUGGAGGGGGAUAACUACUGGAAACGGUAGCUAAUACCGCAUAAUGUCGCAAGACCAAAGAGGGGGACCUUCGGGCCUCUUGCCAUCAGAUGUGCCCAGAUGGGAUUAGCUAGUAGGUGGGGUAAAGGCUCACCUAGCGACGAUCCCUAGCUGGUCUGAGAGGAUGACCAGCCACACUGGAACUGAGACACGGUCCAGACUCCUACGGGAGGCAGCAGUGGGGAAUAUUGCACAAUGGGCGCAAGCCUGAUGCAGCCAUGCCGCGUGUAUGAAGAAGGCCUUCGGGUUGUAAAGUACUUUCAGCGGGGAGGAAGGCGAUAAGGUUAAUAACCUUGUCGAUUGACGUUACCCGCAGAAGAAGCACCGGCUAACUCCGUGCCAGCAGCCGCGGUAAUACGGAGGGUGCAAGCGUUAAUCGGAAUUACUGGGCGUAAAGCGCACGCAGGCGGUCUGUCAAGUCGGAUGUGAAAUCCCCGGGCUCAACCUGGGAACUGCAUUCGAAACUGGCAGGCUAGAGUCUUGUAGAGGGGGGUAGAAUUCCAGGUGUAGCGGUGAAAUGCGUAGAGAUCUGGAGGAAUACCGGUGGCGAAGGCGGCCCCCUGGACAAGGACUUGACGCUCAGGUGCGAAAGCGUGGGGAGCAAACAGGAUUAGGA
rnacentral:rRNA from 1 species